rnacentral:ncRNA from 1 species
AUUUUUCUAUCUAUUUUUGACGGAGGUUUAUGCAUCCAUCCUUGAAUCGGGUUAAAAUUCUUGAACUAGGACAUGGCAGUCGACGACAACGUUAAAAGGUCCAUAGAAGUCAGCGGGAACCUCGGGAAGAGUUAUUUUUUCUGUUUAAUAGCCUGGCCUCCCUAGAAUAGUCUCAACCAGAUAUAAGGUCCAGUGGUUGGAAGAGAAACGCAUGUCACUUUCUAUCCAAUGCGCUGCCUGCAGCCAUUGAAAAUUUGGAGGACCGAAUAUUAUCCUUGCCCGGUCAUACUCAUAACCUCAUCAGGU